UCUCCCUCAAUCAGACUGGGAAUGGUAGGUUUCACCACAACUUGAAAAUCUUGCUCAAUAAAAGUGUGUGUAAUUUCUCUUUCUAAUGAUUCUGAAAUUGUUUAUCUUCCUCUAAAUUACUCCGUCACUAAAAAUGAUUCUGUUGUUGAAUCCUCUACAACGAUUACUCCAACUACAGCCACAGUGCCGACUUCUCCAGAACCUCCAUCCACAAUCAACGGAUCAGCUGUGGUUCAAACCAGGCUGGUGUUCAACUCGUCCUCUCCUGUUCUCAAUGAGACUGCCGUCCUCAGUGCUCUCCAAGCUCUGCUGAACUCUACACUCUCAAACCUCACCGAGCCUGUAAAAGUGUUGAAUUACACCAUUGAGGAAAUUUCAAACGGCUCCUACGCAGUUAACAUUACAUUCAGCAUCAGUAACAUCAGCAUACCGAGUAACCCUGAGCUCAGGAACAAUACCUACGCCCAAGUGGAGAACAUCAUCAAUAA